rnacentral:lncRNA from 1 species
GAAUCCCAAAGUGCAGCACAGCGAGAGCUGCUGAGCAUCUUGUCAGCGGUGAGGUGCCUGUGUGCCGCAUGGCGAGGGGAUAGCUCUGCAGGGAACGAUGGGAGGCAGUUUGGGUCUGCAGCUACUCCACACCAUUGUGCUCAUAUCUUAUGCUAAACAGCUGGAGACAGAACACAAAGGCAAUUUUUCCUAUUGCUCUGACACUCGGACAGAAGGAGCAACCCUGCGGGGUGUUCAGCAAAGAUGCCGCUCCUUCUACCCUGCCCCAGCAGGAGAUCCAUCUCCAUCCUGCCCGCCGGAGAUCCGUGCGCCCCGCAGCAGCGCCCGGGCUUUCCGCGGGCUCGCAGCUGCAUCCAACAGCAGAGGGAGCUCCGCGAGAGGAAGAGGAGCAGGCGAAGCUCGGCAGGAGCAGCCCCAGGAAGGAGGGAGGCGGGCAGGGGUGAACAGAGGUAACCGCAGGCUGCUCUGCUGCACCAGAAAGUUUCAGUGA